CGGGCGUAAACAUAAUCACCAGGUGUGCUGGGACCAAGUCUCACACAUAUGAUGAAUCAUGGCACAGGAUCGAAUGUCACAUCUUUACUACAUAACAGGAGUUCUAUACAAAAUAAUUAAGUAUUUACAUUAUAAGGAGACAACGGUCCAGCAACCCAAAGUUGACUGGGAGACGACGACCUAGACCUCUCACGAACUCGCACAGCAUCCUUCAAGCGCCUCGUCCUGUGGUACCUGUUCUUGACCUGUGGGGGGGUGUGAGACAGCAAGAGUGAGCUCACAUACGUUCAUCGCUCAACAAGUUGUGGGGAAUAAUGUGCAUGAACUCGCCAAAGGUGGGAGCUCACGUGAAGUGUAAGGCUUACCAACGGAGAUGGUUGAAGCUGAGCAUUGCUUUUAAAGUUGGUCAAAAUUUUAUUAGCAAUUACUAAGUAUAAGUAAAUACCAACUCAAUUAAGUAGUAGAACAGAAGUAACAACAUCACCUGCGAUGCAAUGCAUAUGACAAAUUGAAUUUAAGUUCCAUAGAUUAAUCAUGUGAGGGUCCGAGCCGCUCAUGACCGUGAGCAUGGCUAGUAUACCAGUUUUACACUCUGCAGAGGUUGCGCAUCUUUACCCACAAGUCAUGUUACCCAUCUGCCAAGGGAUCGCGACUUCCCAUACACCUCUACCGAGGAGGCGAGGCAGGGUAACACUACGAGGCCUUUACAAAGUUCCACUAGCUUCAGAAAACCUGCUACAGUUUAUAGGAAGCUCCAAUGCAGGAAUCCCUUGCAGGACCGCCAUCGUAGCAAAAUCCUCCCGAGGGCCUCCCUACACUGACCACUCCCCUACUGCCCUUGCCCCUUUCGGGUAAGGUAGUCCUCCACUAGCUUUCCUAAUUAAUCAGCCAAGGGCGUCCCAUUAAACCCUUAUGGUAGCACUGUUUUCCCGGGUGGUCGCUCCAUGUUCCAAUUAACAUAAUGAUCUUAUCAUGAACGAUAAAUAACAACGGAUAACAAAAGUAUAAUCAUGAGUAAUGUAUCUUCAUACCCAAAACCACAUAAAGCACUAGCAAGUACUACCCAAAAAGUUCAGUGGUAACAAGGUACAAAGAUAAUCAAACUAGGGUAACCUAUUGGGUCCCAUCAAAAUUAACCUAUGCAGAUCAUUAUGAUUAAUCAGAACAUGGCUGGGUAAAAAGAAGUGAUCAAGGGCACAACUUGCCUGGGACUUGAGAUUCCAGAUACCAACUUGCUUUUCAGAUGACACGUGUCCUCGCGCUAGUCGUAGCAAUACAAGCAAACAUGGUAUAGAUAAAAUUAACAUCACACCAAACAUAAGAACAAACUGAGUAAUAAUGAUCUACGCGCUGCUACGAGACUAACGCAACUUGAACGGAUCAAAUCAGAGUUAAAACGGAGGAGUUAUGAUUUUCUGAAGAUUAUAUGUGUUUUGUACAAGAUUAAAUAGGAUAUAAAUUUUAAUGUGACAUUCAUGUCAAAACAGUGGUACUAAUUGAUAAACAAUAUUAUUAUAAAAUUAUAGAAACUAGAAUGGAUCAAUUUGGAGUUCAUAUGAAGUUUCUGUGAUUUAUACAACUUCUAGCAAUUAUUUUUGUAUUAAAAUCAAUUUCUAAAAUUAAAUAACUGAAUUCUCAGAGCUGUGGACUGGGCGCACAAAAUCUAGACAACCCGGGGGCCGCUACAUGAAUUUUCCUAAGACUCAGAGGUAUUCCGCGAGGACGGCGGGUUGUUUUUAGGAAAAUCUGGGGGCUCUUAUGCAUAAUAGGCACGGCGAAGGGGUAUCCUUUCAUCUAGGCCGCGCGAUCUGAUUUCAACGAUCCAGAUUAUAAUCCGAGCCCCGCGAACCGGUACAGGCUCACAACCGUUGGAUCCGAGAUCCACGGCACAGAUCACUUCCAUCCGAACGCUGCUGAACUUCUAAUCGUGGCCGCCCGAUCUUCAUCUAAUGGACCGGAUCAACUCACGCGAAGGGAUACAUGAAUUCUAUUCACAGCCGCAUGAUACCGGAUCAACGACCCAGCACCAUCUCCUUCCUCUCGUCGCUUAGAUCGACGGCCAAGCGCGGCGGCAGUACACACCGGUGAGUCCCAGCCCGGUGCACCGGUGAACUACCCAUGUGCCUACUAGCAAAACACGACACAGAGAACAGAGGGAAUCACCCAGCUGGGAGUUCUUACCUAGACUCGGCAGGUGGCAGGACUGCCCACACGCUACGGUGCUGGCUCACUACAACAGGUUCGACCGGGGCCCAGGACCUUCUCCGCGCUCGAGAGCGACGCAGAUGUUCGCACGAUGCCUCCCUGCACCCCUCUUUCCGACGAACACGGCGACACGAACGGAAGCUAGAACUUGGCGUUUGCAUGGAAGGGCUAUGGCAGCUACCGGAUAGGAGAUGCCUCUGUUCCUAUUUAUAACCCAAAGAAGGUGGGCUGGCGUCUGGCUGGCAAGCCCGACGGUUACGGAGGUGAGUCUGUUACGAUCUUGACGGCACGAUUUUGUUAAGUCAUCCCCACAAGCAGCGUCACGGGAGAUACCAGGAUGACUCCGUCCAUGACGUCAAUAUAACGUAUACUACGGCUGAUACAAUAAAAUUUUAAAUAAAUAAUAUAAAUGAAUAAAAAAACAAGGCUACAAGGAUCUGGGUGUGGGCCGCCGUAUGAGAAACAUGGAAAUGAGUGGGCCGACACCACCAUACGUGUGGGUGAGUUUUCUAUUUUUUUCUACUCUUGUUUUCCUAUUUUCACUUUGGAGAUUCAGUUUCAAUCGAAGUUGUGAAUCUCAAAUUUCAUUCAAAUGCAACACAUAAAAUACCAGCAUGAAUGCAAAAGUAUAUUUUAUAUAUAACAUAUAUUUGUUUUAUUAUUUUUUUGUUCUUUUAUUCAUGAUUCUAAUUAUGAAAUAGAGAAUGGUUCACAUCUCAUGAAUUUUUAGGGAAAUAUAAUGUAUACUGUAGAUUAUAUAUUAAGAUAUAGUUUAAUCAUAAUUCUUCUAAUUUCACUCCAAGAAUAAUUUAGUUUAUCUGGUAUCUUUUUAUUUUAGUAAAAAAAAUAUAUUAAUUUUUUUUGGAGUAGUAACUUUUGAAAUUAUGAAUGUUCUCAAGGAAAGGUGUUUUGAUUUUAAAACCCCCGAGAGGAUUUUCCUUCUUUUCAGAGGAUUGAACUUUAGGGUGUUACAAAUCCUACCCCCCUUAACAAGAAUCUCGUCCUCGAGAUUAGUAAGAAAAGGGAUACAAAAGGAUUGGUGUGUAAUUCAUCUUUUAGUCUAUAAUUGGUUCAAAAAUCCAGAGUCUCAUUUUUUAGUCAAUAGUGGGCGAUUGGCAGACAUAGGUAUCCAGUUACUUAUUAUGUAGGAUAAAAGAUGUCUUUGAAGCAUAGAUAGGUUUGGGUAAGAAAGAGUAGGGUAAGGAAAGACUCCAUCCAAGAUUGUGGCUCUUGAUUCUUUUGAAGAUCUGGCUUGAAUCUUAUCCUUCCUUGAUUUGAUGAGGUCGAUCAUCUUCGAUUUUCGUUUUUGAAGUUGUUAUCCGAAUUAGGGACAUGUAGUUAAAAUAAAGUAGUAGGUGGAGCAGCUAGUUUAGUAGGUGGCUAUGAGUUAAAUGAGAUUAGUCGGAAUCUGGUUUGGAUGUUUUGCUUCUGAAUGGUUUGGAUAGGUUAUGUAACAUAUUAUGUAGGUCAAGUUAUUGGGUAUGGCCGAGUUGAUCUAAGUUACCAAAUUAGGCUUAAGUGAGUUAGGAGUAUUUCCUUAUAUUUUGUAACAGCAUUAAGUAACUCAAUCUAGCUUAGAUCAUUAUAGAUUAGAUAGAAUCCAGAUUAGGUUGGUAUGACUAGAUUAAACUAAUUAAGAUUAGAUAGAUCUACCAGGGUGGGAUAAAUAUUAUUAGGAUAUGCUAGAAUCUUUUAAGAAGGAUGGACAUUGUUUAGGCUAGAUAUUUUAAUGAGUGAUAAUCUAAGUUGAUUAGUUAUCUUAUGAAUUUUUUUAUUUAUAUUUAUGCCUAUAUGUAUAUGCAGAUGUAAUUGUGGACAUUACUCCACAACUCAUCACACUCAAUCAAAGAUCCAAAUCAGACAAGUAUCAUAAGAACAAACAUUCAAGUGCAUAGAUACACACAUAAAAAUAAUAUUUUUGUUUUUGUUCCUAAGAGUAGGUCUCCUAUUCCUAAAGGUCACUUUAGGUACAGGAUUUCAAAGUGUGAAAUCCACAGUUGUCUUUAGAAGGAAAAGGUAAGAAUAAUCAGAGUAAAGCGGAAAUAGAUGAGAAAAGAUUAAGAUAAGUUUAGAAAAGGAUCAGAGUAGCAAAGGUAAGUAGAUAAUGAUUGUCCAGUUCUAUCUAGGUUUUGUCCUACAGUCAACAUUCCUCUGAUACCACUUCUGUCACACCCGGAUUUUAGGGGUCCAAAGCCCGGGCGUAAACAUAAUCACCAGGUGUGCUGGGACCAAGUCUCACACAUAUGAUGAAUCAUGGCACAGGAUCGAAUGUCACAUCUUUACUACAUAACAGGAGUUCUAUACAAAAUAAUUAAGUAUUUACAUUAUAAGGAGACAACGGUCCAGCAACCCAAAGUUGGCUGGGAGACGACGACCUAGACCUCUCACGAACUCGCACAGCAUCCUUCAAGCGCCUCGUCCUGUGGUACCUGUUCUUGACCUGUGGGGGGGUGUGAGACAGCAAGAGUGAGCUCACAUACGUUCAUCGCUCAACAAGUUGUGGGGAAUAAUGUGCAUGAACUCGCCAAAGGUGGGAGCUCACGUGAAGUGUAAGGCUUACCAACGGAGAUGGUUGAAGCUGAGCAUUGCUUUUAAAGUUGGUCAAAAUUUUAUUAGCAAUUACUAAGUAUAAGUAAAUACCAACCCAAUUAAGUAGUAGAACAGAAGUAACAACAUCACCUGUGAUGCAAUGCAUAUGACAAAUUGAAUUUAAGUUCCAUAGAUUAAUCAUGUGAGGGUCCGAGCCGCUCAUGACCGUGAGCACGGCUAGUAUACCAGUUUUACACUCUGCAGAGGUUGCGCAUCUUUACCCACAAGUCAUGUUACCCAUCUGCCAAGGGAUCGCGACUUCCCAUACACCUCUACCAAGGAGGCGAGGCAGGGUAACACUACGAGGCCUUUACAAAGUUCCACUAGCUUCAGAAAACCCGCUACAGUUUAUAGGAAGCUCCAAUGCAGGAAUCCCUUGCAGGACCGCCAUCGCAGCAAAAUCCUCCCGAGGGCCUCCCUACACUGACCACUCCCCUACUGCCCUUGCCCCUUUCGGGUAAGGUAGUCCUCCACUAGCUUUCCUAAUUAAUCAGCCAAGGGCGUCCCAUUAAACCCUUGUGGUAGCACUGUUUUCCCGGGUGGUCGCUCCAUGUUCCAAUUAACAUAAUGAUCUUAUCAUGAACGAUAAAUAACAACGGAUAACAAAAGUAUAAUCAUGAGUAAUGUAUCUUCAUACCCAAAACCACAUAAAGCACUAGCAAGUACUACCCAAAAAGUUCAGUGGUAACAAGGUAUAAAGAUAAUCAAACUAGGGUAACCUAUUGGGUCCCAUCAAAAUUAACCUAUGCAGAUCAUUAUGAUUAAUCAGAACAUGGCUGGGUAAAAAGAAGUGAUCAAGGGCACAACUUGCCUGGGACUUGAGAUUCCAGGUACCAACUUGCUUUUCAGAUGACACGUGUCCUCGCGCUAGUCGUAGCAAUACAAGCAAACAUGGUAUAGAUAAAAUUAACAUCACACCAAACAUAAGAACAAACUGAGUAAUAAUGAUCUACGCGCUGCUACGAGACUAACGUAACUUGAACGGAUCAAAUCAGAGUUAAAACGGAGGAGUUAUGAUUUUCUGAAGAUUAUAUGUGUUUUGUACAAGAUUAAAUAGGAUAUAAAUUUUAAUGUGACAUUCAUGUCAAAACAGUGGUACUAAUUGAUAAACAAUAUUAUUAUAAAAUUAUAGAAACUAGAAUGGAUCAAUUUGGAGUUCAUAUGAAGUUUCUGUGAUUUAUACAACUUCUAGCAAUUAUUUUUGUAUUAAAAUCAAUUUCUAAAAUUAAAUAACUGAAUUCUCAGAGCUGUGGACUGGGCGCACAAAAUCUAGACAACCCGGGGGCCGCUACAUGAAUUUUCCUAAGACUCAGAGGUAUUCCGCGAGGACGGCGGGUUGUUUUUAGGAAAAUCUGGGGGCUCUUAUGCAUAAUAGGCACGGCGAAGGGGUAUCCUUUCAUCUAGGCCGCGCGAUCUGAUUUCAACGAUCCAGAUUAUAAUCCGAGCCCCGCGAACCGGUACAGGCUCACAACCGUUGGAUCCGAGAUCCACGGCACAGAUCACUUCCAUCCGAACGCUGCUGAACUUCUAAUCGUGGCCGCCCGAUCUUCAUCUAAUGGACCGGAUCAACUCACGCGAAGGGAUACAUGAAUUCUAUUCACAGCCGCAUGAUACCGGAUCAACGACCCAGCACCAUCUCCUUCCUCUCGUCGCUCAGACCGACGGCCAAGCGCGGCGGCAGUACACACCGGUGAGUCCCAGCCCGGUGCACCGGUGAACUACCCAUGUGCCUACUAGCAAAACACGACACAGAGAACAGAGGGAAUCACCCAGCUGGGAGUUCUUACCUGGACUCGGCAGGUGGCAGGACUGCCCACGCGCUACGGUGCUGGCUCACUACAACAGGUUCGACCGGGGCCCAGGACCUUCUCCGC
rnacentral:lncRNA from 1 species